rnacentral:rRNA from 1 species
UGGGGAAUAUUGCACAAUGGGCGCAAGCCUGAUGCAGCCAUGCCGCGUGUAUGAAGAAGGCCUUCGGGUUGUAAAGUACUUUCAGCGGUGAGGAAGGGAGUAAAGUUAAUACCUUUGCUCAUUGACGUUACCCGCAGAAGAAGCACCGGCUAACUCCGUGCCAGCAGCCGCGGUAAUACGGAGGGUGCAAGCGUUAAUCGGAAUUACUGGGCGUAAAGCGCACGCAGGCGGUUUGUUAAGUCAGAUGUGAAAUGCCCGGGCUCAACCUGGGAACUGCAGCGGAUAAUAGCAAGAUUGAGGCUCGUAGAGGGGGGUAGAAUUACAGGUGUAGCGGUGAAAUGCGUAGAGGUGUGGAGGAAUACCGGUGGCGGAGGAGGCCCCCUGGAGGAAGACUGACGCUCAGGUGCGAAGGCGUGGGGAGCAAACAGG